CCGACGGUGAGGGACGAAAGCUGGGGGAGCAAACCGGAUUAGAUACCCGGGUAGUCCCAGCUGUAAACGAUGCGCGUUAGGUGUAUCAGUGACCACGAGUCACUGAGGUGCCGAAGAGAAAUCGUGAAACGUGCCGCCUGGGAAGUACGGUCGCAAGGCUGAAACUUAAAGGAAUUGGCGGGGGAGCACCACAACAGGUGGAGCCUGCGGUUUAAUCGGACUCAACGCCGGAAAUCUCACCAGAUAAGACAGCUGAAUGAUAGUCGGGCUGAAGACUCUACUUGACUAGCUGAGAGGAGGUGCAUGGCCGUCGUCAGUUCGUACUGUGAAGCAUCCUGUUAAGUCAGGCAACGAGCGAGACCCACGCCAACAGUUGCU
rnacentral:rRNA from 1 species